rnacentral:rRNA from 1 species
UACGUAGGGUGCGAGCGUUGUCCGGAAUUAUUGGGCGUAAAGAGCUCGUAGGCGGUGUGUCACGUCGUUCGUGAAAACCUGCAGCUUAACUGUGGGCGUGCGGUCGAUACGGGCAUCACUGGAGUUCGGCAGGGGAGACUGGAAUUCCUGGUGUAGCGGUGAAAUGCGCAGAUAUCAGGAGGAACACCGGUGGCGAAGGCGGGUCUCUGGGCCACAACUGACGCUGAGGGACGAAAGCUAGGGGAGCGAAAGGG